UACGUAGGGGGCUAGCGUUGUCCGGAAUCAUUGGGCGUAAAGAGCGCGUAGGCGGCUGGAAUAGUCCGGUGUGAAAUCCACAGGCUUAACCUGUGAAUGCCGCUGGAAACUGUCUGGCUAGAGUCCGGAAGGGGCGAGUGGAAUUCCUGGUGUAGCGGUGAAAUGCGCAGAUAUCAGAAGGAACACCAAUGGCGAAGGCAGCUCGCUGGGACGGUACUGACGCUGAGGCGCGAAAGCGUGGGGAGCGAACAGG
rnacentral:rRNA from 1 species